AUUGAACGCUGGCGGCAGGCCUAACACAUGCAAGUCGAGCGGAGCGGCGGACGGGUGAGUAAUGCCUAGGAAUCUGCCUGGUAGUGGGGGAGAACGUCCGGAAACGGGCGCUAAUACCGCAUAAUAUCAGAUGAGCCGUGGUCGGAUUAGCUAGUUGGUGGGGUAAAGGCCUACCAAGGCGACGAUCCGGAACUGGUCUGAGAGGAUGAUCAGUCAGACUGGAACUGAGACAAGGUCCAGACUGCUACGGUGGGCAGCAGUGUGGAAUAUUGGACAGUGUACUGAGGCCUGAUCCAGCCAUACCGCGUGUGUGAAGAUGUUCGUCGAAUUGUAAAGCACUUUAAGGUGGGAGGCGUUACCAACAGAAUAAACACCGACUAACUUCGUGCCAGCAGCCGCGGUGGUAC
rnacentral:rRNA from 1 species